CCACAUUGUUGGUGACCAGAAUUCCGUUUUCCGCUAAGGAUCUCCAAAAUGACAACGCCAAAGCUGAAGACAUCGGACUUAAUAGAAAAGAUGCCCUUCGAAGCAUACUCAGGGGCCAUGUAGCCACUAGAAAGUGUUUCCUUCGGUGUCAUUUGAGCUAAAUAUUUUUGCUAGCCCGAAAUCUGAAAUUUUUGGAUUCAUCUCACCGUCGAGAAGAAUGUUGCUUGGUUUAAGAUCUCGAUGUACGACAAGCAACCGGGAGUGCUUAUGCAGGUAAAGAAGUCCAUGUGCUACUCCCUCAAUUAUUGCUACAAGUUUUGACCAAUCCAGAAAUGCUCUUUUAUUCUCAUCUACACAUCAAUUAGAUAUCAAUAUAACAGGAUAAAAACACCCAUAUAAAUGAAAUAAUUUGUAGAGUUGAAUUAACAAGGGUUGAGAAAAAAAAGCUCGAAUAAUCUUUAGUCAUUCUGAUGCAUGAACAGACGAUAAUUAAAGUUCACUAAGAAAUGCAAAUGCAUACCGAAGAUGAAGUAAUCCAGACUUUUGUUUGGCAAGUAUUCAUAGACCAACAUUUUCUCCUCUUCUUGAGAGCAACAUCCCAAAAGCCUAACCAAAUUCGUGUGCUGGAGUUUCGCUAUGAGCUGGAUUUCAUUUUGGAACUCUGUGAAACCCUGUCCUGAAUGUGAAGCAAGUCUCUUUACCGCUAUCUCCAAACCCUCUGGAAGCUGGCCCUGGGGAAAAAUAUCUAUUCAAAAGUUAGGCUCUUCCCAGCCUACAUGGUCAUGCCGGCUUGCGAGAAUAGAAAAUUUCAGGUUUGUUUUCUUCCUUCUUUCCAAGAAAAAAUUGCACACUAAUUAGCUAGGCUGUGUACUUUGGUAAUUUAUUCCUUCCAAAUUCUACUCUGUUCGAUUAAUCUGUUCCUCACUAGUUGUGUUUCCACUGCUUGAAAGGCCGGCCAUCAGCCACUUGGAAACAAGAACACAGGAAGUCCGGAACCUUUUUCAGUUAUUAAUUACCGCACUGGUCAUGUCAGUUGUUUUCAGUUCUCACUGGUGGACACGUACCUUAAUUAGUUUGAAACAGUCAAGGCAACAAUCACGCUUAAUGAUAAGCAUCAUUUAUAUAGCAUUUUCUAGCACUGAUUAUGGCCUUCAAGCUUUGUUUUGGACAUAAUCCGGGGUGCAAAAGUAUGCUAAAAUACUGAAAGUUGUCGCAAAGAGCAAGUUACAGUCUGUUUCUAUCUUUGUGCAGGAAAGUGUGAAAAGCCAUUAUAAACUACCAAAUUCAGUGAGGAAAUGGUCAUCGCUGCAUCUUGCCCGUGUUGGUGAUCUUUUGCUGGAAGGAUUAUGUAUUUAUGUGAAGAAUAGCAAGAAGCAAGGAAAGGGAGAUGAGAUCGACACCACAGCUGGU